ensembl:lncRNA
AAUGUCGACAACAUGGUAAUGAUUAAGUUGUUGCUGAACAGUACUUGCAUAGAGUCAAGGAUUUUUCUACUUCUCACGCUGACCUCACAACAAGGAGCUGAGUGGGCACAAGAAGCUGGGAGGGGACAUAGCCAGGGCAGCUUUCCUAAACUGGACAAAGAUGUAUCCCAUACUAUGUGGCAUCAUAAUGAAUGAUGGGGAAAAUGAGAAGAGGAGAAAAUAAACUAAACCCUGGCAAUUGCAGGAAUGUGGUGAUGUUCCGGAAGCUUCUCACCCUGUUUUCUCAAGGUACAAUCUGAUUUGCAUCUGGCCAUCUAAGUGGGAUGACUGAGAGCUUAAAGAAUGAUGAAACCUGAAGGAGUCAGAAAUGACCAGAGAACCCCAGGCCUAGUCACUGCCCUUCUGAGAUUUCAUCAGAUAAGCCUCCACAAACUGCUUUGAUUUUGACAAACAAUAUAAUAGUGUGAAAUUGUUAAGAUAUUCUGACUUUCUCAGCUUGAUGCUUUCAGCAGUGCAGCUCUUCAGAAUGCACAACUCACAUGCAAUUAUCAUUAGCUAAAUGCCCUUUUCAGUCUCCUGAGGUGAAAGACAUCAUAAAGCUAUGAACGAAGAUGCAGAAAAGGAUAUGGAGAAGUAAGAUUAAAGUUUGUCUCCUUGCAAAGACUCUCAUGCUACAAAACUGCAAAUUUGUGGAAGGGAUAAAAAUUUUUGACCCUUCCCUCAGCACUUGUUUAACAUAAGUUAAUAUAAAUAAUGCAAAUAUUCUUGGGAAUGCCAACAAUCAGUAGCUGAAAGGCAGUUUUUGCUCAUCACAGCUUGUGGCUGUUGUCCAUUGAGAAUUAGAAAGCUUAAGAAUCAGCUUUCAGAAAGAAGAGAAACUUGAGAUUAACCUUUGAAAGAAAGGGAGGAUUAAUUAUUUUGUAUGCUUCUUUUCUAUCAUGGGGUAGAUAGGAAAGAAAAUUACAUAGACUUUGCAGACUCCAAUGUGUACACUGAAAAGAAUCAAUCCUGAAUUAUGACCUGAACUGUAGGAGUCCUGAAAGCCUGACAAUGGAUCUAUUUGGAAAAAUAUCUGGAAAAAUUGCCUCAUUGAAAAACUGAGAAAACAAGCCUUGACUUUGUCUUCAAACACCAAAGCAUAUUCACAUAAAGGGAGAAAAAAAAAUCAGAUUUUUUUUUUCAUAAAAUAUGUAUUUUUAAAUUUUAACAAAAAAUAACAAGAAUACCCAACACAGCACCAGACUGCACUCAUCUCUGAGACUGACAUUCUAGUAAGAGGAGGAGAUGUCAUUGGAGAAUUACCAGGAACAAAGUCAUCUAUAUUUGUACAAAGGGGAAUAAAGAGAGUUUAUUUUAUUUUCUCUCAGAUUUAUAGAUAUGUCCCCGUCCCCCCCCCC